ACCAGGAUGGCCGAGCGGUUCCAAUGGACAAAAGAUCCAAUGGAUCCAAUGGACAAAAGUCCUCGUGGGUUCAAACCCCACUCCUGGUA